GACGAACGCUGGCGGCGUGCCUAAUACAUGCAAGUCGAACGCUUCUUUCCUCCCGAGUGCUUGCACUCAAUUGGAAAGAGGAGUGGCGGACGGGUGAGUAACACGUGGGUAACCUACCCAUCAGAGGGGGAUGACACUUGGAAACAGGUGCUAAUACCGCAUAACAGUUUAUGCCGCAUGGCAUAAGAGUGAAAGGCGCUUUCGGGUGUCGUUGAUGGAUGGACCCGCGGUGCAUUAGCUAGUUGGUGAGGUAACGGCUCACCAAGGCCACGAUGCAUAGCCGACCUGAGAGGGUGAUCGGCCACACUGGGACUGAGACACGGCCCAGACUCCUACGGGAGGCAGCAGUAGGGAAUCUUCGGCAAUGGACGAAAGUCUGACCGAGCAACGCCGCGUGAGUGAAGAAGGUUUUCGGAUCGUAAAACUCUGUUGUUAGAGAAGAACAAGGACGUUAGUAACUGAACGUCCCCUGACGGUAUCUAACCAGAAAGCCACGGCUAACUACGUG
rnacentral:rRNA from 1 species